AAUUACUUAAAAGAUCUUUUCUUUACACUCUCUCUUGGAGUUAGAUAGAAGUAUGAUUUCUAAAGCAUAUGAAAAAAAUUAAGUUUGGAUUACUUUUGGAAGUAAACAAAGUUUUAAGUUUGGGGUUGGGUACUAGAGAAUAUGGUCCAAAAUUUCAAAAAAAAUUGUGAAAAAGAAAUGGAAAAAGACACUUCUUCAAAAAAAAAUGAAUGAGAAAAGAAAUGAAUGAUAUUAUAAGGAGGAUAAAAACUCCCUAGUACUAUCAAAAAGGAAAA
rnacentral:lncRNA from 1 species